AUAUGUUCGUAAGAACAUGGCGUACUGCUCAGUAACACGUGGAUAACCUGCCCUUGGGUCCGGCAUAACCCCGGGAAACUGGGGAUAAUUCCGGAUAACGCACAUAUGCUGGAAUGCUUUUUGCGUAAAAUGGAUUCGUCUGCCCAAGGAUGGGUCUGCGGCCUAUCAGGUAGUAGUGGGUGUAAUGUACCUACUAGCCUACGACGGGUACGGGUUGUGAGAGCAAGAGCCCGGAGAUGGAUUCUGAGACAUGAAUCCAGGCCCUACGGGGCGCGGCAGGCGCGAAAACUUUACAAUGCGGGAAACCGUGAUAAGGGGACACCGAGUGCCAGCAUCCUAUGCUGGCUGUCCGGGUGUGUAAAAUACACCUGUUAGCAAGGGCCGGGCAAGACCGGUGCCAGCCGCCGCGGUAACACCGGCGGCCCGAGUGGUGAUCGUGAUUAUUGGGUCUAAAGGGUCCGUAGCCGGUUUGGUCAGUCCUCCGGGAAAU
rnacentral:rRNA from 1 species